rnacentral:rRNA from 1 species
AAUAUUCCACAAUGGAGGGAACUCUGAUGCAGCAACGCCGCGUGAGUGAAGAAGGUUUUCGGAUCGUAAAACUCUGUCAUUGGGGAAGAAUAAAUGACGGUACCCAAUGAGGAAGCCCCGGCUAACUACGUGCCAGCAGCCGCGGUAAUACGUAGGGGGCGAGCGUUGUCCGGAAUUACUGGGCGUAAAGGGUACGUAGGCGGCUAUAUAAGUCAGGUGUGAAAUACCAGUGCUUAACACUGGAAUUGCAUUUGAAACUGUGUAGCUUGAGUGCAGGAGAGGAAAGUGGAAUUCCUAGUGUAGCGGUGGAAUGCGUAGAUAUUGGGAGGAACACCAGUGGCGAAGGCGACUACCUGGACGAAAACUGACGCUGAGGCACGAAAGCUAGGGGAGCAAACA